GCCAACAUAGCUAAAAAAUCGAAUAAAUAUUCAAUACAAUCGUUGUUUAUACAAUGAAUUUGAUCUGACUGUUGAUUAUGAUAUACAUACAACAGUUACGCCAGAUAAUUAUUUGGGGCACAAGAGCCUUUUAAAAGCUGCAAUAGUUAUGGGUAUGAGCUCCAUGAACAAUUACACAAAACUAGUUUACUAACAUCUCUAUCAAAGGUCAUGUUUUCCACCUCAUGCCUAAUGGAAUCAAAAGGCUUGGAAGAUAGAUAACGAUCUCCAAAGCUAGGGAAUAUUACGAUAAUGAGUUUCCCAGCAUUUUCCAGUCUCUUUGCCAAUUUUAUUGCAGCAGCAGCUGCAGCUCCAGAAGAUAUUCCUACCGGUAGAGGUUAAGAAGCCCUGUAAUUUAGAUGGCAAAUGAAAAGAGCUUGUGGCAACAACAAUGGAAAAUGUUUAAAGAAAGUUAUUAUAUACCAACAAACAUUCUUUGAAGGCAAGCACCUUAGUUGUUUGAAUAGCUUCCUCAUUGUUACCUAUAAGAAGCAAUACCAUCACUGGAAAGUAAAUAAAUUACAAUUCAACAUAAGCAUUGAUAUUUCUAUUGGUUUUAGACUUACCUGGACAAUUUUAUCCAUUAUUUCAAUAUCCAUAACAUUAGCAAUAAUAUCAGAGCCAAUUUCUUGAAUCAGAUGCGGACCUUUAACAUAGGUUGCAAGCAUUUUUCUCAGGACAAAAAAAUCAAUAAUGAUAAAUAUGGCCACAUUAAAUGCAAUUGGAUGAAAAAUAAUUCAGGGAAAAAAGGGUCUUAUUUUCAAGAACUAGUUAAAUGGAAACUUCAAGAAUACUAAUGAGUUAAUUCAGUGAUAUUUUAUUCUUAUUCAAAACUAUAAAGUCAGCAAGUUCAAACCGUACUCUAGCUA
rnacentral:misc_RNA from 1 species